GCCCAACAACCACAGAAGCAGCAACAACAACCACAGCUGCAGCAACGACAACCACAGCUGCCCCAACGACAACCACAGCUGCCCCAACGACAAUCAGAUCGACAACCACAGCUGCUCUAACAACAACUGCGGCCCAAGGCUUGGAAUCACUGGUACAUCUACAGAUGAAGAUAACUUCUAUUGGAGUGGUCAGCAAUGAAACCAUCACUGAAGGUGUGAAACAGUUUUUCAGAGAACAGCUUCUGAAUGCAACAGCCUACACGAUCACCGUGACAAACAUUCAAAGGGUUACAGUUGCU